CUACGGGUGGCAGCAGUGAGGAAUAUUGCACAAUGGGGGGAACCCUGAUGCAGCAACGCCGCGUGGAGGAUGGCGCAUUUCGGUGUGUAAACUCCUUUUAUAUGUCAAGAAAAUGACGGUAGCAUAUGAAUAAGCACUGGCUAACUCCGUGCCAGCAGCCGCGGUAAUACGGAGGGUGCAAGCGUUACUCGGAAUCACUGGGCGUAAAGGACGCGUAGGCGGGUUGGAAAGUCAGGUGUGAAAUCCUACAGCUUAACUGUAGAACUGCACUUGAAACUUCUAAUCUAGAGUAUGGGAGGGGGAGAUGGAAUUAGUGGUGUAGGGGUAAAAUCCGUAGAUAUCACUAGGAAUACCUAAAGCGAAGGCGAUCUCCUGGAACAUUACUGACGCUAAGGCGUGAAAGCGUGGGGAGCAAACAGGAUUAGAUACCCCUGGUAGUC
rnacentral:rRNA from 1 species